rnacentral:lncRNA from 1 species
CAAUACCCAGUUCAAAUUCAUUUUUCUUUUUCCUCUCUUUAGUACCAAAAGUUCAGAUCUUAGAAUUGAUACGACAUACACUUUUUUCCAUGCACUCCAUUUUAAGCAUCAGUCAUGGUCUUACAAACUCUAUUAAUGGUAUGAUCCAAUCCCUUCUCUUCAAACUAACAUGUAAAAGACAUGAAGAUUCUUCAUUUUCUGCUUUCUGGUAACCAUAACUGCACACACAAUCUUAGAGCAGCAACUGACUAACUAAAAACCAGUUUCUGUAUGUUUUUCUAUGAAAUUUGUUCAAAAUAAUCCAUAAUCCUGGUUUUCAUUCAAUUAUGUUUGUUUCAUGACCGUGUUUUAUUGAUGUUUAUACACUCAUCUUUUCUUGGGUAGUCUGCAAACCUUAAGCAAGAAAAGAACCAGGGGGACUAUUGGAAGAGUGUAAUAAAGGAUCAAACCAUGCUAGAAGCAAUCAAAUGCCUUUUUCAUGAACAUCUGGAUUCAGUUUUUAAUUCUGAGAAUAAAAUGAAGCACUUUGUCAAUGAUUUCAACAGCAGAAAAAGCCUUAUUAACAUACCACAGCAGACCCAAGUACAAAGAAGAAUAUAGCACCUAUGUUAAGGACUUUAAGAAUCAGAAGCAAACAUAAAUUGACAGAAAAAGGAAAAAGCUUGAAUUCAUGGAGUUCAUACUUGUAUUAGUACUUUUUCAGUUUUGCUAUUAAACUAUUUCGAUUUUUAAGAGAAUUUGCAGAUAAGAAGACCGUAGCUACUGAGGAAAACUUGCUGUUUAAUUCUAGAUAAAGCUAAUUCAAACACAUUGAUUCCAUCACUGUUAAACAAAGCCCUAUUGCUUGGGACAUUCACCUCAAACUAG